rnacentral:rRNA from 1 species
UACGAAGGGUGCAAGCGUUACUCGGAAUUACUGGGCGUAAAGCGUGCGUAGGUGGUGAGUUAAGUCUGUCGUGAAAGCCCCGGGCUCAACCUGGGAAUGGCGAUGGAUACUGGCUCGCUAGAGUGCGGUAGAGGAGAGUGGAAUUCCCGGUGUAGCAGUGAAAUGCGUAGAGAUCGGGAGGAACAUCAGUGGCGAAGGCGACACCCUGGACUCAUACUGACACUGAGGUGCGAAAGCGUGGGGAGCAAACAGG